rnacentral:lncRNA from 1 species
AACCAAUGCCUGGGUUCCACCCCCAGAGAUUCUAAUCUAGUUGUUCUGGAAUGGAGCCUAAGCAUCAGGACUUUUGAAAGCUUCCCAGGUGAUUCUUAUGUCAGCCAAGGUUGAGAACCAGUGCUCUGAAGGAUUUUGAGGAGAGAAGUUAUGUUAUCAGGAAUCAGUUUGCAUUCUUUCUCUGGGAAACCAAUGUCUUACUUAUUUUAACAUGGACUUUCAAAAGUUGAAGUUGACUUAUAUUUAUUCUUGGUUAAAUUCAAUUUAUCAAACUCUAUUGGACACAUACUAUGUGUCAGGUGUGGUUGGGCACAAAGAUGGAUAAGGACACCUCCUCUGCCUUGAUGGAGCUCCUGGGUGAGAGCAAGUUGCCUAUAAUAAACACUCACAGUCUCAAGAUGAUAAAUCAGCAGAACUUGGAACCACCUACACAAAAUGUUCACUAUAUGGAGAAAGAAAAUAGACUUAGAUCAAAACCUAAUUUUAUGACAAGUUAUAGACACUAUUCACAGUAGCCAAGACAUGGAAACAGCCUACGUGUCCAUUGAUGGAUGACCAGCCCCAACCUCCUGUCACCGAGUAAGUAUUUAAUAAAUGUGUGUGGAAAGAACGGCGGAAUGAACGAACGCAUUAAUGAAUCUCAGGAACUGUGGAGGACAGACCACAAUUCAUACACAUAGCACUCUGAUGAGACCCUGGGGUUACCCUCCUGAUUAAUCUGGGAUGGAAUUGAUCAAUAUCUUGAGGUGAUACACUAGGCGGUGAGUUACAAUAGAACAAAUCAUGUCAUCAAGGCAAGAACAAGGAGAGGCUCCUGGGAAGUCAAAUCUUCGUGCAAUAAUGGAGGGAACUGGACUUGUUAUGCUAAAGCAGUGUAUGUACGGCAAGCUCACUGGGAGGAGAGACCCUGUCAGAGAUCAGCACUCUUCUGGCAGCUGAAACAAAAGGAUAGAAAAUAUAACUGUGAAAAUAAUGUGCUUCAAAGGCUCUGUCUACCAACCACAACUGAAAUGAUCUCCUGCAGUCAACACAUGUGUCAUUAUUCUGGUAACCCAUAUGCUUAAAUACAUAGCGUCAUUAAGAUCAUAAAAAUAUUAGGUCAUUUUAUCAGGUAUCCAGACGUAUCAGGUAUCAGAGAACUAGUGGAUUUUUUCUUGACUGGUAAAAAAUGAAUUGACAAUGAAAAUAAAUUGAUUUUGCACAUGAAAGGUGAAACUAAACUAUUUCUGAGCUUGAAAGAGGAGAAGAUUUCACCCAUUCAACAAAUACUUCAAUACUAUUUAUGUGCUGUGCAUUGUUACAAGCAAAAUAAAAUGAAUAAUAGACCAAAUAAGUAUCAAAAUAUUUGCUUUCAAAUAAUAUGCCCAUUUAAGAACUUUGAAGUUUGAGUAUUCUAUACUUUGUCAUUUGUAUGUUUACAAUAGACAUUAUAUGGUAGGUGUUCAGUAAAUGAUGUAUUCAGUAAAUGAU